GGCCGGUUAGCUCAGUCGGUUAGAGCGUGCUGCUCACAACACCGAGGUUGCUGGUUUGAUCCCAGCAUGGGCCA